AACACAGAGAGAGCAAGCUCGAGAGAAUUUUCGAAGAGGCUUGUCUUCAAGAUAUGGAAGGAAGUGAGAGAUGACAGCCUGCAAGCUUUGUAUGCCAGUGCCUGGCAGGGCGGGGGGGUGGGGGAGAUGCGAGGGAAGCCAAGUGGAUUCUCAGAAAAAGGGGGGAAGCCAUCAAAGAGCUAAAGGUGAUUAGAGGGGGAUAUCGAUUCCUUACUCUGCCAGAGGUUUAAGCAGGCAUGAGAGGAAUCUGUACCAUGGCUGGCAGAAAGAGACCCAUUGCCUCUUGUAACCAGACACUGGGGCUUUCCAGGAGCCCAGGGAGAGAGCUGAGAAGAAAGGGGGCAGUGUGGUCUAGGAAAAUUCAACUUGUCGCUGAUUUGUGCCUGAUGCUUGCUGUCCGUCAGCAGCCUCCCUUACAAGCCUUUUUUCCUCUCUCUCCUUUUUUUCUCCCCUUGCCUUCUUCUUCAGUGAAGCCUAGGGGAGCCAGUAAAGAUUAAAUGUGCUUUCUCAAAGGCAGCCACUUCAUGCUGCUAUGUCGAAAGGGCUAUUAUUAUUAUUAAUAUGAGAGAGAGAGAGGGAGAGAGAGAGGGAGAGAGAGAGACUAGGUAUGGUGAUGACGGUCUAGCUUUUCGGAGAGCAAAAGGGAGAGAAAAAAGGAGAGACCAUGAGCUGAACCAAGGACUGUGUAUGAGCUGAACCUACAGAGCUGGUCCUAUAGCCCCCUUUCUCAGUAAUGUCUCCCCAGUGAAAGGAAAAAGACUGCAGAGGCUUCAGACUGACGGAUGCUCAUGCCAACUGUGAAGUUGAAACAAAGCCAGUGACCAGCUGAAGAGGCCCCUCCUGCCCAGCAGCCACCCACAUGGUGCAGUUGCAGCCAGUAGUAAUCUUUGCAAGAAGCAGAGAAGCCCAGAACACUCAUGAGUCAAAACCAUGCCCUUCCUUGUGUGUAUCCCUGUCUCGUUCAGAUUGAUGCUCCUUCCAUUUGGAUCCUGGUAUGAAUAUGCUUGUUACUGUACGAGUGUAAAAAGUUUUGCCCAAAUGUGUUAAUGUAUGAAGAGACUGAAUUUUUUUUUGGGGGGGGAGAGAGUUAUUUUUAUCAAAACACAGUGUUCGUUCUUGAGAGUGAUCUAGAAAAUAAAAAGCAGUUGGAAAAGACAGCAAAGCAGUCACAGGCGAUCCACAGAGAUGCUCACACCACCACACAGAAACACCACACCAUGCUCCCAGACUCUGAGCAGGGAGCUUGACUCUGUGUCAUACUAUGGCUGCUGCCAGGGGUCAACGUCAAGCCAGACAAAGGUGCAGAAGCUUCCUGAAGUGUAGUGAUAAACUGAGUCAGGAGACAAUAAGAACAGCAACGACACAAAAGACAACGUCCUUGGAGGGAGCCAAGUGGGUUUGCUUAAGGAAGGAUGCUCCCUUAAAGAGAGAAUGGGAAAUCAACCUUUAAAGGAUGUAAAAACAAAACUAGAUAAAUGGGAAGAUAGGAGAAAAUAAGAGUCCUUAAUGCAAGCAUAAGGGUAAGCAGCAGACGGGCAGAGGAGAUCCACAUGGUGAGUCUUGGAGACUACACAUAUCUCGUCUUGAUUUUGCCUGACACUUGGAACCGCUGUCUGUGUGUCUAGUAGAGAUGCUGCACACAGGUAUCUCCCCUCCUCCACCCCGAAUGUCACCUAAACCAAACUAGAACUAAAGUUCCAGUUCUGUGUCACUACAAAGAUUGGUUGGUGAUUCCUGAAUAGAAGUCAUGAUUCUUCUGUUCGUGAUUGCUUGUUACCAAGUUUAUUCCAUACAGAAAAUGUUUUGCAUAUUAAAUCUCAUGGUUGCUAUGAAAACGACACAUUAUCCACCUUUCACAGGUGAAGAAACUGAUUUUGGUGAGGUUGAGCGCCUGGCCAAGGUGCUACGUGCAGCUAUGCACAUUCAAGGUUGUGGUCAUGAAACUCAGUCCCUAGUCUGACUUUUGUGAUGAGUUCCAACACAGUUGUCACCUUUACCAUAGCCCUUAAUGCCUGUCUACAGAAAGACAUGACUUUUCUGCUGACUUACAGCCACAGUAUUUCCUACUUCCAUGCUGAAUUAUACCAGAAUGAUAAAACGUAUUUUCAUGGAAGAAAAUUGAGAAUUUAGUGAAAUACACUGCUUGCCAGCAGUUUGUAUGUUUCUUCUUCAUUUUGGUCUGAGACUUUUGAUUUAGUUCUGCAUGAAAUCUCAAAGUUUUAAGAGCAGUAAGGGAAGGGCCUUAAGUUACCUGUUAUAGUACUUUGUGACAGAAGAUGUAAAUCUACAACCUGUAAUCAGAGUGACUUUACAAACAAACAACAAAAAGACACCCCUCCCCACAAAAACUCAAAUCAAACCAACCAACCAAACAACAAAAUAAACAAAACCGCCCACUUAAUUGGAAAUGUCCCAACAAAGACCAGAAACUAAGUCCUCUUUCAAUGGCUUUUAAAUUAUUCCACCCUGUCCUAAAGAAACAUGAACUUGUAUUUGACUAAAGGCACCAAUGUUGCAUAGAUUGGAUCUCAUAAAAUCUAGUUUCUUCCUUCCUUGGUACUCAUGUCAAUGUUAAAUACAGCUAUGAACUAGUGUAUCUAUGUCAAGAAGUUGUCAAUGAUCUGUCCCCAAAGAACACAGAAUAGCCAAUGUUGUAUAUAUACUCCUUCUUUAAUCCAGCCAUGGAGUCAUUAGUUCACCUGCACCAAUCCAAUCCAUUGUGCAUCUUCUCAACCAACCUGACCUAUGGCAAUCAUUUGCAAGUGCUAUAAAUGUUUAUCUAUGACUGUUCCAGAAAUAGUUAGGUAUUAACAAAUACCACUAGUCAUUUUGUGGUGUAAUCUUCAUUUAUCUGUGUCACUAAUUCAAGAAGACUUUGGCCAUAAAAACCUAGAACUAAAAAUCGCAUUCUUGGCUUUCAGCCACUCUACAUUUGAUUGACAUUUCACAGUGAUUAAUAAAUUGUCCAUCUAAAUAACAUAGAUGUCCAGAUUGUGAUUUUUGUCUUGAAUGAGACCGUUAAACUGGGUAGGCUAAGGGACAGAUGUCUAACUUUUUGAGGUACCUGGAUAUUUAACUGAUGUAAUUUUCUACUUAGCUGUUUGACAUUGUUGUAUGUAGUCCUGGUCAUGGCUUUGACUGUUCUCUUUUUUUCAAAAUGCUUGUUGGCUCUGUCUUACACUGUUCUCACUGAUCUCAUAAAUAAACAGGUUUGUUGUUAAAGAGUAGCCCAAGCACAAAGUGUGAUGUUGUUGACAUUUUACAAGACUUUCCUUGGUCCCUGACUCCCAAUAAAAGAAAUGUUGCAUUAACUGU
ensembl:processed_transcript